GACGAACGCUGGCGGCGUGCCUAAUACAUGCAAGUAGAACGCACAGUUUAUACCGUAGCUUGCUACACCAUAGACUGUGAGUUGCGAACGGGUGAGUAACGCGUAGGUAACCUGCCUGGUAGCGGGGGAUAACUAUUGGAAACGAUAGCUAAUACCGCAUAAUAUUGAUUAUUGCAUGAUAAUUGAUUGAAAGAUGCUAUUGCAUCACUACCAGAUGGACCUGCGUUGUAUUAGCUAGUAGGUGAGGUAACGGCUCACCUAGGCGACGAUACAUAGCCGACCUGAGAGGGUGAUCGGCCACACUGGGACUGAGACACGACCCAGACUCCUACGGGAGGCAGCAGUAGGGAAUCUUCGGCAAUGGACGAAAGUCUGACCGAGCAACGCCGCGUGAGUGAAGAAGGUUUUCGGAUCGUAAAGCUCUGUUGUAAGAGAAGAACGGGUGUGAGAGUGGAAAGUUCACACUGUGACGGUAUCUUACCAGAAAGGGACGGCUAACAACGUG
rnacentral:rRNA from 1 species